rnacentral:rRNA from 1 species
GACGAACGCUGGCGGCGCGCUUAACACAUGCAAGUCGAGCGAGAACCAGACCUUCGGGUCUGGGGACAGCGGCGAACGGGUGAGUAACACGUGGGUAAUCAACCCUCGGUACUGGGAUAGCCCGGGGAAACCCGGAUUAAUACCGGAUGGCCCUUCGGAUCUUCGGUUCUGAAGGAAAAGGUAGCUUCGGCCUCCGACCGAGGACGAGCACGCGGCGGAUUAGCUUGUUGGUGGGGUAACGGCCUACCAAGGCGGCGAUCCGUAGCUGGUCUGAGAGGACGAUCAGCCACACUGGGACUGAGACACGGCCCAGACUCCUACGGGAGGCAGCAGUGGGGAAUCUUGCGCUAAUGCGGGAAACCGUGACGCAGCGACGCCGCGUGAGGGAAGAAGGCCUUCGGGUUGUAAACCUCUUUCAGGAGGGACGAAGCUACUCGGGUUAAUAGCCCAGAGGGUGACGGUACCUCCAGAAGAAGCCCCGGCUAACUACGUGCCAGCCGCCGCAGUAAAAC